rnacentral:rRNA from 1 species
UACGUAGGGGGGCUAGCGUUGUCCGGAAUCAUUGGGCGUAAAGCGCGUGUAGGCGGCCCGGUAAGUCCGCUGUGAAAGUCGGGGGCUCAACCCUCGGAUGCCGGUGGAUACUGUCGGGCUUGAGUACGGAAGAGGCGAGUGGAAUUCCUGGUGUAGCGGUGAAAUGCGCAGAUAUCAGGAGGAACACCAAUUGCGAAGGCAGCUCGCUGGGACGUUACUGACGCUGAGACGCGAAAGCGUGGGGAGCAAACAGG